GGGUGCUUGCAUCAUGAUUUACAUUUGAGUGAGUGGCGAACUGGUGAGUAACACGUGGGAAACCUGCCCAGAAGCGGGGGAUAACACCUGGAAACAGAUGCUAAUACCGCAUAACAACUUGGACCGCAUGGUCCGAGCUUGAAAGAUGGCUUCGGCUAUCACUUUUGGAUGGUCCCGCGGCGUAUUAGCUAGAUGGUGGGGUAACGGCUCACCAUGGCAAUGAUACGUAGCCGACCUGAGAGGGUAAUCGGCCACAUUGGGACUGAGACACGGCCCAAACUCCUACGGGAGGCAGCAGUAGGGAAUCUUCCACAAUGGACGAAAGUCUGAUGGAGCAACGCCGCGUGAGUGAAGAAGGGUUUCGGCUCGUAAAACUCUGUUGUUAAAGAAGAACAUAUCUGAGAGUAACUGUUCAGGUAUUGACGGUAUUUAACCAGAAAGCCACGGCUAACUACGUGCCAGCAGCCGCGGUAAUACGUAGGUGGCAAGCGUUGUCCGGAUUUAUUGGGCGUAAAGCGAGCGCAGGCGGUUUUUUAAGUCUGAUGUGAAAGCCUUCGGCUCAACCGAAGAAGUGCAUCGGAAACUGGGAAACUGGAGUGCAGAAGAGGACAGUGGAACUCCAUGUGUAGCGGUGAAAUGCGUAGAUAUAUGGAAGAACACCAGUGGCGAAGGCGGCUGUCUGGUCUGUAACUGACGCUGAGGCUCGAAAGUAUGGGUAGCAAACAGGAUUAGAUACCCUGGUAGUCCAUACCGUAAACGAUGAAUGCUAAGUGUUGGAGGGUUUCCGCCCUUCAGUGCUGCAGCUAACGCAUUAAGCAUUCCGCCUGGGGAGUACGGCCGCAAGGCUGAAACUCAAAGGAAUUGACGGGGGCCCGCACAAGCGGUGGAGCAUGUGGUUUAAUUCGAAGCUACGCGAAGAACCUUACCAGGUCUUGACAUACUAUGCAAAUCUAAGAGAUUAGACGUUCCCUUCGGGGACAUGGAUACAGGUGGUGCAUGGUUGUCGUCAGCUCGUGUCGUGAGAUGUUGGGUUAAGUCCCGCAACGAAGCGCAACCCUUAA
rnacentral:rRNA from 2 species